rnacentral:rRNA from 1 species
GACGAACCGUGCAACCGUUGUUCGGAAUCACUGGGCUUAAAGGGCGCGUAGGCGGGCAAGCAAGUCCGGGGUGAAAUCUUUCGGCCCAACCGGAAAAGGGCCUUGGAUACUGCUUGUCUGGAGGGAGGUAGGGGCAGACGGAACUUCCGGUGGAGCGGUGAAAUGCGUUGAUAUCGGAAGGAACGCCGGUGGCGAAAGCGGUCUGCUGGACCUCUACUGACGCUGAGGCGCGAAAGCCAGGGGAGCAAACGGG